rnacentral:misc_RNA from 1 species
GAUGAAGAACGUAGCGAAAUGCGAUAAGUAAUGUGAAUUGCAGAAUUCAGUGAAUCAUCGAAUCUUUGAACGCACAUUGCGCCCUUCGGUAUUCCGGGGGCAUGCCUGUUCGAGCGUCAUUACACCACUCCAGCCUCGCUGGGCCUUGGGCGCCGCCGCGUGCCGGCGCGCCCCAAUGUCUCCGGCUGAGCCGUCCGUCUCUAAGCGUUGUGGCAACUCAAUCCGCUUGUGGGACCGGGGGGUUCGACGCCGUUAAACAUCACACAAGGUUGACCUCGGAUCAGGUAGGGAUACCCGCUGAACUUAAGCAUAUCAAUAAGCGGAGGA